rnacentral:lncRNA from 1 species
CGAAAAUAAGAAUUACAUCAUUCUUGAAUCCAACAAUAAGAAAAGAAAGAUGAGGUUCAUAAUCUUGUUCAUAAUCUUUAUCUCAGUAGGAUCUAACGAUUCCGGGCAUGAAAGUGGUGCUGGAAUUUACGGAUCCAGCUUUAAGUUCUUGUGACGUUGCAUCUGAAUGGAGCAAAACAUUUGAAGGCUGAGGUAUGCUGGAAAUCGGUAUCUACAUUCCACAUGACAAGUGUUUUUUUUGCAAGCCUUAGAAACCAAUGUUGUUGUCACUCUUAGGCAACCACAUUGGUCGUGUGUGCACCCAACCUUCUUAGGUGUGGCUGAGCCUAUAUAUAUCAGCCACACCUGCACUGUCUUCACUUUCAGGUCAAUCAGAUUCAAUUAAAAGGGUCCAAAAUGCUCCUAUUUUGGGUUCUAGAAUUUGCUUUAGCGGUUUUCGCUUGUGAGCCCAUAGGAGAUACUGAUGCAGCCUGUAGAAACGACUGUUACCGAAAAGACUGUGAUGGAACAGUGUAUGACAUCCAAGAGGCUACUUGCUGUGAAAACAAACUUCACCCAGGUGCAAGUUUGUCUUGUUGUGGAAAUGAGCCUUACAAUCCUGAAACAGCCACUUGUUGUAAACACAAUCUCACAGCCAGUGUUACUCAGGGUCUGAGUGAAAAGGUGUCCAAGUGCUGUGACCUGAAGGCCUACAACCCAGUCAAUGAAAUGUGUUGUCAAUCAACCAUCAUAUCAAAACCUGGACCAAUGGCUGAAUGCUGUGUUAAAGAUGUUUUUGAUGAGGACAAGCAGUUGUGUUGUGGUCCAGCUGAUAAUAAGACAAUUCUGGUGAGGAAUUCCCGUCACCAUGAGUGCUGUGGUCACAGCCAGUACGACACUGAGACUCAGUGCUGCUGUUCAAAUGAGGAGAAGAUGGAGAUACAAUCGAAGGAUUCAUCCUGCUGUGUCAAGAAUUUCACUCCAGGCCUUUCAAGUGGAAAUACCACCUUCAACAAACCUUCACCAAAGCAUGGAUAUUGUGGUGAAGGUAUGAAACAGCAGAUAUUCAAGCUCCAACCCAAAUGCACUGAACCAAACACACAUCUCUGUGGGUCGUCGUGUUACAAUCCAAAGCAAAAUCGCUGCUGUGAGAGUAACCACGAGCCUCACUCACUUGACAACUCAGGUCAAAGGAAGGCCACAGCCACCGUGUACAACCCACAUACUCAGGUCUGCUGUGAUGGACGUGUAUCUCCGUGGAAGCCUUGGAUCGAUCAGUGCUGUGGAGAGACGCCGUAUGGCUCGGCACAACGUGGAGCUCUGUCUUGUAAUAAGACCUUGUACGAGGACAGAUAUGAUGGAGAGGAAUGUUCAGAGAUGGGUAUUCCUUACAACCCGGCUAAAGGGACCAUAUGUUGUUCUCAGUUUCAUGGCAGCCCAGGACAACACUGCUGUGGGACAGAAAUUUACCGGCCUCGUACUGAGAUCUGCUGCAAUGGACACAGACAUCUGAAAUCAGAAAACAUUCACUGCUGUGGGGUCAAAGCCUACAACAUUAAAGACCCACAGAUGAAGUGCUGUGCAGGAACACUGUACAAUCUGACAUCAUUAGACAAGCAUGGAGGGGAUGCGCAGUGCUGUGGAUCCAUUCUGCAAAAGCCACAGGACAUUUGCUGCUCAAGUGAGGACAAAGAGGUGCUCUACUCUGCCGAAAUAGGGUUCAGAUGCUGUGGUCACCUUUACUAUAACACCACCCUGUGGUCAUGCUGUGCUGGGGGGCUGAGAAGAAUCCGUGAACCAGGACAGGAUCAGAGAAAGAUGAUUAAUGGAUCCAGACUUCUAUCUGUGAAUAAUCUGAACAAAAUCGAUCUUUGCAAAGAAAUGCACAUUGGGACUGUGGAAAGUGUGUCGCUGCAGAGCAUUGUGUUCAGGAGUGUGCUGAAGGUCCAUGGGAUGGAGGCCAAAGUGAAAGCUCUGCCAUUCCCUUACAUCCUGGAAAGAGAUGAUCGCUGCAGCUCCCCUAAACUGAUUGCUGGGAAGACCUACUACUUUAACAAAGUUAAUGUUUUCAUUGAUUUCAAUCAUGACUCUGUUCUUCAGUCACUCCAUUUCAUUAUUUGCAAAUGUUCAUCUCAGGUCACCACUGGCUGAUGUAUACAUGGUCAGUGUGGAUCUGUUGCUCCCUUCUUUGAACAAGUUCUCUUUUUUCACAUAUUUACUCACAGUGUUGGCUUUGUCACACAGAAAAUUAAUUAAUUACACAUCACAUUAUACUGGUUAACAUUAUUUUACAAAGUAAUUUGUUACCAUAUUUAUUACAGAGUACUUGUUGCAUUGCAACCUAAUAUACUCACCCCAAAUUACUCUCUGAUGCACCCAUCACAGUGUGAAUGUUUGCUUGAACUUAAACACAGAAAGAAGUCGUUGUAUGAAUGUGUGAAUGAGGGACGUUGUAUCAAGCGCUUUGAGUGCUCAGGUAGGGUAGAAAAGUGUUAUAUAGAAGAACCUGUCCAUUUAUCAGUAGUAUACAAUACUUCACAUGAUAUGUUGUUUAUACAUUACUCUGCCUAUGUCCAGCCAAACCAUGUUGCUCUGUUGUUAACACAUCCCAAGAUGUCUUAUCACAGACAGAAUUUAGGUACUUUAAGUAAAGAAAACAAAAAACAAUGUAGCUUUUAACUUCAGUUUUACAGGGACUCACAUUGUAGUGAUUCACACAACUUGACAUUAAUCAAUACUGUAACACAGUAAGCUGGUGCACAAUGUUGUUUCUCAAAUCUAAAUUUGAACAAAAUCUAAAUGUAACUUUGAUUCUUGCACUGAUCUAAAAUACAAGGGACAACUGUGUGCACAUGUCCUUGAACCAUACAAUUCAAUACUUGUGGUAAAGUCCAUGAUUUACUGUGAUUGUUAAUUCUAAUGAAUGAUAAACACUUAAUGCCAAUAUCAUGAAUACAAAUAUGUUAGAAGGACCCACUAAAAAUUCCAUUAGUUUCUGUUUCUUUGAAUGUGAUUCAUGUAAAAUAGUUAAUGGUAAGGAUAGGUAUGGGAAUUUAAGAAUGGUAAGGAAUCUAGUAAGGACUUGAGGGACAUUUAAGCUAUAAGCAAACAUAAACACUGCCUGCUUGAUUUAGUGACUUUGUUGUUAAUAUAAUAUAUUGCAUAUAUAUAUUGUAAAUGUUUAAUAUUUGAAUGGACCUAUUAUCCUUUAAGGAUUCAAAUAAAUAAAUACAAACACUUAUUAAACCUGCUGUGUUUUCUCUUG